GACGAACGCUGGCGGCGUGCUUAACACAUGCAAGUCGAACGGAAAGGCCCUGCUUUUGUGGGGUGCUCGAGUGGCGAACGGGUGAGUAAGACGUGAGUAACCUGCUCUUGACUUUGGGAUAACUUAAGGUAACUGGGGCUAAUACCGGAUAGGAGCUCAUGCUGCAUGGUGGGGGUUGGAACGUUUGGGCGGUUGGGGAUGGAUGCGCGGAUUAUCAGCUUGUUAGUGGGGUAGUGGCUUACCAAGGCUUUGACGGAUAGCCGGCCUGGGAGGGUGACCGGCCACAUUAGGACUGAGGUACGCCGCAGUCUCGUACGGUGGGCAGCAGGGGGGAAUAUUGCACAAUGGUCGGAAGCCUGAUGCAGCGACGCCGCGUUCGGGAAGACGGCCUGCGGGUAGUAAACCGCUUUCGCCUGUGACGAAGCGUUAGUGACGGUAAUGGGUAAAGAAGCACCGGCUAACUACGUG
rnacentral:rRNA from 1 species